GACGAACGCUGGCGGCGUGCCUAAUACAUGCAAGUAGAACGCACAGUUUAUACCGUAGCUUGCUACACCAUAGACUGUGAGUUGCGAACGGGCGAGUAACGCGUAGGUAACCUGCCUGGUAGCGGGGGAUAACUAUUGGAAACGAUAGCUAAUACCGCAUAAUAUUGAUUAUUGCAUGAUAAUUGAUUGAAAGAUGCUAUUGCAUCACUACCAGAUGGACCUGCGUUGUAUUAGCUAGUAGGUGAGGUAACGGCUCACCUAGGCGACGAUACAUAGCCGACCUGAGAGGGUGAUCGGCCACACUGGGACUGAGACACGGCCCAGACUCCUACGGGAGGCAGCAGUAGGGAAUCUUCGGCAAUGGACGAAAGUCUGACCGAGCAACGCCGCGUGAGUGAAGAAGGUUUUCGGAUCGUAAAGCUCUGUUGUAAGAGAAGAACGGGUGUGAGAGUGGAAAGUUCACACUGUGACGGUAUCUUACCAGAAAGGGACGGCUAACUACGUG
rnacentral:rRNA from 1 species